GAAGAGAUGGCUCAGUGGUUAAGAGCACUGGCUGCUCUUCAAGAGAACCUGGGUUCAAUUCCCAGCCCCCACA
rnacentral:tRNA from 1 species